UCGCAUCGCAGAGAAAAAUAAAUAAACUUUAAAGUAAACGCGUUAAGAACGUAAUUCCUUUCCUUUUAUUUGGUAUUUUGCCGCGAUUUUUGUCUAAUUAUGAGUGAAAAUAAAGUAAUUUUGUUAAACCAAAACGUCGCACAUGAUAUGAUUGAUAAAAUAAUAGAGAUGAAUGGAAAUGGAAAGAAAAGUGAAGUAACACGUGUAGAAAUAGAGGAACACGAGGAGUAUCAAUAUUUGAAUUUGAUUAAGAGAGUAAUUAAAACAGGAGCUGAAAAGAAUGAUCGAACCAGCAUAGGCACAUUAUCUAUCUUUGGAACUCAUAUGCGAUUUAAUUUGCGAAAUAAUGUAUUUCCACUAUUAACUACAAAACGAGUAUUCUGGAAGGGAGUGGUAGAAGAAUUGUUAUGGUUCAUAAAAGGAUCAACAAAUGCCAAAGAAUUAUCAGAGAAGAAUGUUCAUAUUUGGGAUACUAACAGUUCACGUGCGUAUUUAGAUUCUUAUGGAUUCACUGAUAGGGAAGAGGGAGACUUAGGACCUGUUUAUGGAUUUCAAUGGAGACAUUAUGGAGCAGAAUACAAGGAUAUGCGCGCUAAUUAUGAGGGACAAGGUAUCGAUCAGUUGAAAGAAGUUAUAGAGAAAAUAAAACAUACUCCCAAUGAUAGAAGAAUAAUAAUGUCAGCAUGGAACCCACUUGAUAUUCCAAAAAUGGCUUUACCUCCGUGUCAUUGUUUUGUACAGUUUUAUGUAAGCAAUGGGGAAUUAUCGAGUCACUUGUAUCAAAGAAGUGCCGACAUGGGUCUUGGGGUACCAUUCAACAUAGCAUCGUAUUCCCUCUUAACUUAUAUGUUAGCUCACAUUACAAAUUUAAAGCCAGGUGAAUUUGUACAUACAAUGGGUGACUGUCAUGUCUACCUUAAUCACAUAUCUGCACUUGAAGAACAAAUUAAACGUGUGCCAAAACCAUUUCCACAAUUAAAAAUAGUUAGAAACGUUGAAACUAUUGAUGAUUUUAUAGCCGAAGAUUUUAAACUAAUCGGAUAUGAACCACAUGCAAAAAUACCUAUGCCAAUGGCUGUUUAAAUCAUGGUGCAAUCAAAUUGCACCAAGAUGAAUAAAAUUAUAAUUGAACAGUACCAGUUCUUAAUGUGGUCCAUACAUGCCUGUUACAGUUCUAAAUUUAACGAUCAUAAAUCAUAAGUGUUUCAUUUUACAUUACAGAGAAAAAAACUAAAAAGAAUGUUUCAAGGAUGUAACUGACAAGCAUGGACGAUAAAAGGCCUUAUGUAUGGAACUCCUAAUUUAAUAAAAUCGUUAUUUCUAUACAAUAUUUAAA